GAGGAUAUCACAUUGAAACACCAGUUCACGUAAGAUCUGACGUUAAGUAACGUAAAGCCUGGUCAGUACGUAGAUGGGUGACCGCUUGGGAAUACCUUGUGUUGUAAU